rnacentral:misc_RNA from 1 species
GGUUAUAUAACAAAACGAUGAACUCAGGCUCGCAUCAUGAAACAGGAAACCUAAGUAACCGGUCUCUAUUUCUCAGCAGCAGCCUCUUUCUCAUACACAUCAAUAGCAUAUUUCCAAUUGAUAACCUUCCAAAUGUUGUUCAAAUAGUCCGGCCUCACAUUUUUGUACUGCAGGUAGUAUGCAUGCUCCCAAACAUCUAUGCCAAGCAAAGGAACUAAACUCACUCCCUUAGUCACCAGUGGAUCCUGAUUCGCAGUGGUUUCAACUUUAAUUUUCUUUGUCUCCUUAUCCAGAGCGAGCCACACCCAUCCAGAUCCUUGUAAAGCAGCACCUUCUGCACUCAUCUUCUUUACAAGUGCCUCAAAUGAACCAAAAUCCUCAUCAAUGGCCCAGCCAAGUUUUGCAUGUGGUGGAUCACCACCACCCUCGCUGAUAGGCUUGAGGUUAUUCCAGAAGAUCGAAUGAUUGACAUGGCCUCCGCCGUUGAACUUGAUGGCGCUCUGGAGGUGCACGAUG